rnacentral:rRNA from 1 species
AUUGAACGCUGGCGGCAGGCCUAACACAUGCAAGUCGAGCGGAUGAAGGGAGCUUGCUCCUGGAUUCAGCGGCGGACGGGUGAGUAAUGCCUAGGAAUCUGCCUGGUAGUGGGGGAUAACGUCCGGAAACGGGCGCUAAUACCGCAUACGUCCUGAGGGAGAAAGUGGGGGAUCUUCGGACCUCAUGCUAUCAGAUGGGCCUAGGUCGGAUUAGCUAGUUGGUGGGGUAAAGGCCUACCAAGGCGACGAUCCGUAACUGGUCUGAGAGGAUGAUCAGUCACACUGGAACUGAGACACGGUCCAGACUCCUACGGGAGGCAGCAGUGGGGAAUAUUGGACAAUGGGCGAAAGCCUGAUCCAGCCAUGCCGCGUGUGUGAAGAAGGUCUUCGGAUUGUAAAGCACUUUAAGUUGGGAGGAAGGGCAGUAAGUUAAUACCUUGCUGUUUUGACGUUACCAACAGAAUAAGCACCGGCUAACUUCGUG